rnacentral:rRNA from 1 species
GAUGAACGCUGGCGGCGUGCCUAAUACAUGCAAGUCGAGCGAACGGACGAGAAGCUUGCUUCUCUGAUGUUAGCGGCGGACGGGUGAGUAACACGUGGAUAACCUACCUAUAAGACUGGGAUAACUUCGGGAAACCGGAGCUAAUACCGGAUAAUAUUUUGAACCGCAUGGUUCAAAAGUGAAAGACGGUCUUGCUGUCACUUAUGGAUGGAUCCGGCCUGCAUUAGCUAGUUGGUAAGGUAACGGCUUACCAGGGCAACGAUGCAUAGCCGACCUGAGGGGGGGUAGGCCACCAUGGAACGUGAGCCACGACCAUGACCCUUAGGGAAGGCAGAGGAGGGUAAGUUCCGGAAAGGGGGGAAAGCUUGCGGAACAAACGCGGGGGAGGUGAUGAAGGCCUUCGAACGGAAAAACGUUCUUAUUGGGGAAAACCAUUUUCGUAAGUAACGGUGCACAUCUGACGGUAACUUAUUAAGAAGCCCCGGCUAACUACGUG